GGAGGGUGCAAGCGUUAAUCGGAAUUACUGGGCGUAAAGGGCACGCAGGUGGCUGAGUGAGUCGGAUGUGAAAGCCCCGGGCUUAACCUGGGAACUGCAUUCGAUACUGCUUGGCUAGAGUAUGGGAGAGGGAAGCGGAAUUCCCGGUGUAGCGGUGAAAUGCGUAGAUAUCGGGAGGAACAUCAGUGGCGAAGGCGGCUUCCUGGCCCAAUACUGACACUCAUGUGCGAAAGCGUGGGGGGAGCAAACAGGAUUAGAUACCCUGGUAGUCCACGCUGUAAACGAUGAGAACUAGAUGUCGGGGGGGAUUAACCCUUCGGUGUCGCAGCUAACGCGUUAAGUUCUCCGCCUGGGAGUACGGCCGCAAGGUUG
rnacentral:rRNA from 1 species